UACGUAGGGUGCAAGCGUUGUCCGGAAUUAUUGGGCGUAAAGAGCUCGUAGGCGGUUUGUUGCGUCGGCUGUGAAAUCCCGAGGCUCAACCUCGGGUCUGCAGUCGAUACGAGCAAACUAGAGUGUUGCAGGGGAGACUGGAAUUCCUGGUGUAGCGGUGAAAUGCGCAGAUAUCAGGAGGAACACCGGUGGCGAAGGCGGUGGUCUGGGCCGGCACUGACGCUGAGGAGCGAAAGCGUGGGGAGCGAACAGG
rnacentral:rRNA from 1 species